UGGGGAAUUUUUGGACAAUGGGCGAAAGCCUGAUCCAGCAAUGCCGCGUGUGUGAAGAAGGCCUUCGGGUUGUAAAGCACUUUUGUCCGGAAAGAAAUCCUCUGGGUUAAUACCUCGGGGGGAUGACAGUACCGGAAGAAUAAGCACCGGCUAACUACGUGCCAGCAGCCGCGGUAAUACGUAGGGUGCAAGCGUUAAUCGGAAUUACUGGGCGUAAAGCGUGCGCAGGCGGUUUUGUAAGACGGAUGUGAAAUCCCCGGGCUUAACCUGGGAACUGCAUUCGUGACUGCAAGGCUAGAGUAUGGCAGAGGGGGGUAGAAUUCCACGUGUAGCAGUGAAAUGCGUAGAGAUGUGGAGGAAUACCGAUGGCGAAGGCAGCCCCCUGGGCCAAUACUGACGCUCAUGCACGAAAGCGUGGGGAGCAAACAGGAUUAGAUACCCUGGUAGUCCACGCCCUAAACGAUGUCAACUAGUUGUUGGGGAUUCAUUUCCUUAGUAACGUAGCUAACGCGUGAAGUUGACCGCCUGGGGAGUACGGUCGCAAGAUUAAAACUCAAAUGAAUUGACGGGGUCAUAGCUG
rnacentral:rRNA from 1 species